rnacentral:lncRNA from 1 species
UGACUAUCCAAACGAAAAUCAAUUCCAUUCUACACUCUUUGCUACCUCAAAAAAUGCACAUACACAUUUGAGACAGAACCCAACAAUUAUUAAAAGAUUAGAACUGCACUUUGAUGAACAAACCAAACCCAAAAUUAACAUAAAAACACCGAUCAAAAUCAUUUCCUCUCUCUCUUUCGAUCACCUGAUUCCUAUGGCCUCAUCGGAGCGACGCGGUGAUCGGUGGCCAACAACCGUCGAACCGAAAAAAAACAAACACAACCCUCCUCUAAUCUACUCCCUAAGCACGAAUCCUAACCUGAUUUCCCUCUCAAAAACCGCCAAUCUUUCGGAUCGGAGUAUCGAACCUCUCUUGAAUCAAAUCAAUCAAAACGAAACAAAUCUAACGCUAAACAGAGUACACCACGCAAAGAGAUUUACAUGAAAACAAAAGGGUAAAGCUCGAUCUGCAUAUGUAUAAGGCAAGAACAACCUAACAUGUUCAUAUAUUUGCUACGAUGCUUUUAUAGUCCAAGGAGGAG